AGUUCUGCUGGAGUGGAGCUGAGAGAGGCUCUUGGGAGCUGCCUGCGUGGGCAGAGUUUGAAGGCUUAGGAUAUCUCCUGAAGGCCGGAUGGGCCAGUAGAGAUUAACGAGGCUUGAGCUGUCUUGAAAGAUGGCUGCCCUGAGAACUGGCUAGAAGAGGAGACCAAGGAGGCUGUGUGGGUCACCCUUGCAUUGGAGAUGAGGGGAGUCGUGAGAGAUCAGUGGGGAGCCCAUUGCCCUGUUGGGGAACUGCCUGGUGGAGCUUUCCCAGGGAUAUUUUAAAGAACCUACAUGGGAGAAAGCCUGCAUUUGGACAUCUUCCAGGCCAUUCAAUAGCCAAAGAGAACCACCAACAGCUUGAAUCAAAAAAAAGGCCCUCAAAAUAGGCUGAAUGAAAAGAGGUGUGAUCGAUGAAAACUGGCCGCUCCUUCUUUGCAACUCCUUCCAUUAGGUGGUGGAGUCUACGUUGCCCUCCCUUUGAUCCAGGCUGGCCACACAAAUUACUUUCACCAACAGAAUGCUGUAGAAGUGAUACUGCAUGACCUCUGAGCCCAGGCCUUAAGGGACUUUGCAGCUUCUGUUCUUGGCCUCUGGCUGCUCUGUGACUACCAUGGAAGGAGUUCCACACUAACCUCCUGUAGGGUAAGAGACACGUGGAGGCAGACUGAGCCUCCCAGCCAUCCCACUGAGGCUCCAGGCGUGCCAGUGAUGUACCUGGCUGAAGCCUGGCCCCCAGUCACCCACUGACGGCAGCUGCAAAGGUGCCCGUGAUGAGGUGAGCAGAAGCCUAGAAGAAAUUGCAGAAUCAUGAACAAAUGGAUAGCUGCCGUUUUCAGCCACCAAGUCUUGGAGUGGUUUUUCAUGCAGCAAUAGAUACAUGAGACAGGAAGCUUUGGAAGAAGUCAUUUUAGCAUUCAUAAGGGACAAGGAGGGCAAGCUGGGCCUAGCUGGAUUGGAUAGUCGAAUUUCAGAAGGUAGCAUUGCCUAGAUUCAGAAAAAGACCAUUGCAAUCCCACAGAUAGGAGCUCUAAAAGUAAGGUGGCUCAGGAGGGCUGAGAGCAUCUCAAACAGUGAGUUCUGGUGCUAUAAUCACAAAUGAAGCUGAUAAAGAAAACAAAGGUAUUGUCAUAGAAAAACACUGUGAUACCCAAGGAGCCCUGUCCUGAGCUCAGAUUAUAAAGGGGCUUGCAGGGUAUGGAGCGGUGGGGCCAGUGUCUAUGUCCCAGGAAGACAUAAACAUGACACAGACCUGUGUGAAGGGUACCAGGGGCACCGUGGUCCACAGUGAGCUGGCAGUGCCAGCAACAAUAAAAAUGGGCACAUUGAAAA
rnacentral:lncRNA from 1 species